rnacentral:rRNA from 1 species
UACGGAGGGUGCAAGCGUUAUCCGGAUUCACUGGGUUUAAAGGGUGCGUAGGCGGGCAGGUAAGUCCGUGGUGAAAUCUCUGAGCUUAACUCAGAAACUGCCAUGGAUACUAUUUGGUCUUGAAUGUUGUGGAGGUGAGCGGAAUAUGUCAUGUAGCGGUGAAAUGCUUAGAUAUGACAUAGAACACCAAUUGCGAAGGCAGCUCACUACCCAGAUAUUGACACUGAGGCACGAAAGCGUGGGGAUCAAACAGG